GGCUGCGGAGGGAAGGCGGCCGGGAUGCGCCUGCCCAGGGUGCGAGGGAGGGCAACACUCCGAGGCGCGGUGCGUCCCAAUGGGACGUGCAUUUUAUCCAUAAACCUCAAAGACAUGAAGACAGUUAUGCUCACGGGUCAGGUUCGAGCUGCAGCCUCUUAAGUGCAGGAGACACAACUUUUGUCCCGGGCGAUCUCCCGGGCCUCACGGGUCGUGUGAAAGCAGUUGAGUCUGAGAACGAUUUGGUGAAAAGGACCUCGAGCAAAGGCGAUGGGGGCCGAGCGGGGGGCCGGGGCACGCCAGCAAGGAGGUGGCUGCGGAAGCUCUUACCCGAAAUCCCAAUCCACCCGCGUCCCCGGGGAUGCCCCCGGAAACCACAGGCGGUCGGGAUCCUGCUGUCAAGCAGCUGCGGGUCCGCGCGGUGCACACUUCCUGGCAGCCCCUCGCCCGCAUCGGUGAGAAUCAUACCGAGCAUGCGCAGAAGGUCGCCUGAAUUCCCUGGUCAGUGCCCCGGGUGCCCCGCGUGCCCUGCGUGCCCCGGGGACGAUGUGGAAGCCACGGCAAGCCUCCGACCUCAAAAUAACUGGCGGUAUUCUGGGCAGCGCUUUAUCUUGCGUGAGACCUGGUUCCUAUGCUUCGUGGAAAUUAUUAUCCGGGUAGAUGGAUGAUAAGGCGGCGUUUAGAGACGCCCGAAACCACGACACGUGUGGUUUUCAGCAAGGUCCGUAGGCCAGACUUCAAGUAGAACGGGGGUGCCCUACGAUUCUCUCUGGUUUUUCCAGAAUGCUGUGGGAGGAAUUGGCCAGGGCUUUUUCCAACAGAAACUCAGGGUUGGGGUUCCCUGGGCGGCUUAGUGGUUGAGCACCUGCCUUCGGCCCAGGACGUGACCCCGGGGUCCUGGGAUCGAGUCCCUCGUCGGGCUCCCUGCAUGGAGCCUGCUUCUCCCUCCGCCUGUGUCUCUGCCUCUCUCUCUGGGUCUCUCAUGAAUAAAUAAAAUCUUAAAAAAAAAAAAAAAAGAUGUAAAGCUCUGGGACGACAGGAAGUUUGGGAGAGAGGUGUUGGCUCAGACCGGCUUUGCCCUGACGGCCGCCUGGUGGGGGUGAGGACGCGUCCAGGGAGGGCCUGGAGCCCGGUGCCCCGGCAUGACCCCAGCCCCUGUGCGGAUCACACGUGGCGCCAGGGCAGGGCCUGAAGACCGAGCGGGGUCAGGCAGCUGCGCACGGAUCCCAGGGACCAUGAUCCCGCACGUCGCACAGGACGAGGGAGCCUGGAGGCCUCCCACCGAGUGCAGGGGCCCCGGGUCGCGGCCCGGCUGACCUCCUGGGGCUCCCGCACCGUGCGGAGCAGCUGUGCAGAGGGCACCAUCCCCGCCACGAGCUCCGGGAAAUCUGCGU
rnacentral:lncRNA from 1 species